rnacentral:rRNA from 1 species
UACGUAGGGUGCGAGCGUUGUCCGGAAUUAUUGGGCGUAAAGAGCUCGUAGGCGGUCUGUCGCGUCGAAUGUGAAAACCCGGGGCUCAACUCCGGGCUUGCAUUCGAUACGGGCAGACUAGAGUUCGGUAGGGGAGACUGGAAUUCCUGGUGUAGCGGUGAAAUGCGCAGAUAUCAGGAGGAACACCGGUGGCGAAGGCGGGUCUCUGGGCCGAUACUGGCGCUGAGGAGCGAAAGCGUGGGGAGCAAACAGG